rnacentral:rRNA from 1 species
AAAACGACUCUCGACAACGGAUAUCUCGGCUCUCGCAUCGAUGAAGAACGCAGCGAAAUGCGAUACUUGGUGUGAAUUGCAGAAUCUCGUGAACCAUCGAGUCUUUGAACGCAAGUUGCGCCCAAAACCUUCGGGUCGAGGGCACGUCUGCCUGGGUGUCACGC